AUGAAGAUGCUUGCUGGCCGUGAUCCCCAUAAAGUGAAGCUGCGGGAGGCCGGCAGCGGGUGUCACAGGCUGUGGGACGUGUUGGUGGUGUUCGACGCCAAAGGCCACAUGUACCUAGGGCCCGGCUGGGAGCAUUUCGCCCGCGCCCAUGACCUACAGCUCGGGCACUUCCUUGUCUUUCGCUACGACGGCGAUGCCAUGUUCACCGUGAAGAUGUUCGACAACACCAUCUGCCGCAUGUACUACCAGCACGAUGAGGAUGCCAGCAAUGGGAGCAGUAGUGGGGAUGACAAGGAGCAGAGUGGGGAAGAAGAGGAGCAGAGCGAGGAUGACGAGGAGCAUAGCGGGGAAGAAGAGGAGCAGAGCGGGGAGGCUGGCGACCUUGCUAUGGUGGUGGCUGACGACGACCUUGCUAUGGUGGUGGCUGACGACGACCCUGCUAUGGUCGCUGACGACGACCUCACGAUUGUGGUGCCUGACGAUGACCUCGCAAUGGUGGUGCCUGAUGAUGACCUCGCGAUGGUGGUGGCACCGGCGAUCCCACAGCUGGGCGGCAGGACCAUGCCAAUUAUGGUAGAGGAGUACAUCUGCAUCGGCAUUCGCCACUCUGAGCGCAUCAGGAUGAUUAAGGAGAAUAAGGAUAAGAACGAGUGA
rnacentral:rRNA from 1 species